GACGAACGCUGGCGGCGUGCUUAACACAUGCAAGUCGAGCGAGAAACUUCGGUUUCUAGCGGCGGACGGGUGAGUAACACGUGGGCAACCUGCCUCACAAUGGGGGAUAGCCUUCCGAAAGGAAGAUUAAUACCGCAUAACACAAAGGAAACGCAUGUUUCUUUUGCCAAAGAAUUUCGUUGUGAGAUGGGCCCGCGGCGCAUUAGCUUGUUGGUGAGGUAACGGCUCACCAAGGCGACGAUGCGUAGCCGACCUGAGAGGGUGAUCGGCCACAUUGGAGCUGAGACACGGGCCAGACUCCUACGGGAGGCAGCAGUGGGGAAUAUUGCACAAUGGAGGAAACUCUGAUGCAGCAACGCCGCGUGAGUGAUGAAGGUCUUUGGAUUGUAAAGCUCUGUCUUCUGGGACGAUAAUGACGGUACCAGAGGAGGAAGCCACGGCUAACUACGUGCCAGCCGCCGCAGUAA
rnacentral:rRNA from 1 species